UAACGCGUGGGAAUCUGCCCUACAGUGGGGAAUAACGACGGGAAACUGUCGCUAAUACCGCAUACGCCCUUAGGGGGAAAGAUUUAUCGCUGAUAGAUGAGCCCGCGUACGAUUAGCUAGUUGGUGAGGUAAUGGCUCACCAAGGCUACGAUCGUUAGCUGGUCUGAGAGGAUGAUCAGCCACACUGGGACUGAGACACGGCCCAGACUCCUACGGGAGGCAGCAGUGGGGAAUAUUGGACAAUGGGCGAAAGCCUGAUCCAGCAAUGCCGCGUGAGUGAUGAAGGCCUUAGGGUUGU
rnacentral:rRNA from 1 species